UGCAUACUGACCACAUACUCAUUGCAUUCUACAUUUGUCAUUCAUACUUAAUAUUGAUUAAGAUGAAAUGAUAAUUAGCAAGCCUCUUUAUGUUGCGUUGGCACAGCGCAAGGAAGAGAGGAAAGUCAAGUUACAGGACCAAUUUUUUGCAAAUGAGGCAUGUUGCAAUUAAUAUCAGCAAACUUAUAGUAGAUCAAAAGACGGAGCAAUGAGCAUCACUUGUUAAAUAAGAUAUUUUCAUGUUGGAUUUGAUAAUGCACCCGCCAACACCGUCUCCAUUCCCGAGUUAGUUGCCGCAUGCUCACCCUAUUUUAAUGGUGGUCAACAAUUUGACGUCUUGAGAUGGUGGUCCACGCACGAGAGGGAAUAUCCCAUACUCGCCACCAUGACCAAGGAGUUACUCGCGAUCCCAGCCUCCACGGUCUCCAUCGAGCAAGCAUUUAGCGUUGGUGGGCUUGUCUUGGACGAAAGAAGAAGCAACAUGGAUCCUCGAAACAUGGAGGCCACCAUGUUGCUUGAUGAUUGGUUCAAAGUCGAGUUGCGAGCUCAAGAGAAUCAAUGGGAUCAAGCCAACGAGAGCCCAAACGAUGAAUUCACCGAGUCCGAACGAUCUGAGGCCGAGGAGGACUACGAUUAGGUAAGUUAAGGUAAGAGAACUACGUGAAUUUUGAUUCUUCAUUAUUCAAUAAAGAUACGUAGGCCACUCAAUUUUAAUAUUUAUAUUAAAAUUGAGCUCAAGCCCUUAAUUAUUAUUAUUUUUCCCCCUUUUAGACAACUUUCUUUCGAACUUAUUAUAGUGAAUUAGUUAUUUAGUUAGUAUUAGUUAGUUUACUUAUUCAAUUUUGAAGAUUGUAAUUUGUAUCCUUGACUUGUAAUAUUUUUUUUGUACAUAGAAUAAAUUCAAUAAAGAUAUCCAUUUUUAUGCAUUA